rnacentral:tRNA from 1 species
UUCCACGUUAUCUAGUGGUUAGGAUAUCUGGAUCUCACCCAGGAGGCCUGGGUUCGAUUCCCGGCGUUAAAA